rnacentral:rRNA from 1 species
UACGUAGGGGGCAAGCGUUGUCCGGAUUUAUUGGGCGUAAAGAGCGUGUAGGCGGUCUGGUAGGUCCGUUGUGAAAACUCGAGCUCAACCUCGAGACGCCGAUGGAAACCCUCAGACUAGAGUCCGGAAGAGGAGAGUGGAAUUCCUGGUGUAGCGGUGAAAUGCGCAGAUAUCGAGGAGGAACAGCCGGUGGCGAAGGCGGGACUCUGGGCCGAUACUGAC